rnacentral:rRNA from 1 species
UCUUGACAUCUACAGGAUCCUGCGGAGACGCGGGAGUGCCUUCGGGAACUGUAAGACAGGUGCUGCAUGGCUGUCGUCAGCUCGUGUUGUGAAAUGUUGGGUUAAGUCCCGCAACGAGCGCAACCCUUAUCCUUGUUUGCCAGCGAGUAAUGUCGGGAACUCCAGGGAGACUGCCGGUGAUAAACCGGAGGAAGGUGGGGACGACGUCAAGUCAUCAUGGCCCUUACGAGUAGGGCUACACACGUGCUACAAUGGCGCAUACAGAGGGCGGCGAGCUAGCGAUAGUGAGCGAAUCCCAAAAAGUGCGUCGUAGUCCGGAUUGGAGUCUGCAACUCGACUCCAUGAAGUCGGAAUCGCUAGUAAUCGUGGAUCAGAAUGCCACGGUGAAUACGUUCCCGGGCCUUGUACACACCGCCCGUCACACCAUGGGAGUGGGCUGCAAAAGAAGCAGGUAGUUUAACCUUCGGGAGGACGCUUGCCACUUUGUGGUUCAUGACUGGGGGAAAGUCGUAACAAGGUAACCACUUUCCC